AGCAGCCGCGGUAAUUCCAGCUCCAAUAGCGUAUAUUAAAGUUGUUGCAGUUAAAAAGCUCGUAGUUGAAUUUCGGGAUCGACGGGUCGGUCGCGCCUCUGGUGUGUACUGGCCCUGUCGGUUUCUCCCUUCUGACGAACCACGAUGUCAUUAAUUUGGUGUCGUGGGAAAUCAGGACUGUUACUUUGAAAAAAUUAGAGUGUUUAAAGCAAGCAUUCGCUUGAAUACAUUAGCAUGGAAUAAUGAAAUAGGACGUUUGAUCUUAUUUUGUUGGUUUCUAAGAUCGACGUAAUGAUUAAUAGGGAUAGUUGGGGGCAUUAGUAUUCAAUUGUCAGAGGUGAAAUUCUUGGAUUUAUUGAAGACUAACUACUGCGAAAGCAUUUGCCAAGGAUGUUUUCAUUAAUCAAGAACGAAAGUUAGGGGAUCGAAGACGAUCAGAUACCGUCGUAG
rnacentral:rRNA from 1 species